CCAUGCCGCGUGUGUGAUGAAGGUCUUAGGAUCGUAAAGCACUUUCGCCAGGGAUGAUAAUGACAGUACCUGGUAAAGAAACCCCGGCUAACUCCGUGCCAGCAGSCGCGGUAAUACGGAGGGGGUUAGCGUUGUUCGGAAUUACUGGGCGUAAAGCGUACGUAGGCGGAUUGGAAAGUUGGGGGUGAAAUCCCAGGGCUCAACCCUGGAACUGCCUCCAAAMCUAUCAGUCUAGAGUUCGAGAGAGGUGAGUGGAAUUCCAAGUGUAGAGGUGAAAUUCGUAGAUAUUUGGAGGAACACCAGUGGCGAAGGCGGCUCACUGGCUCGAUACUGACGCUGAGGUACGAAAGUGUGGGGAGCAAACAGGAUUAGAUACCCUGGUAGUCCACACCGUAAACGAUGAAUGCCAGUCGUCGGGCAGUAUACUGUUCGGUGACACACCUAACGGAUUAAGCAUUCCGCC
rnacentral:rRNA from 1 species